GACGAACGCUUUCGGCGUGCUUAACACAUGCAAGUCGAACGGAAAGGCCCUGCUUUUGUGGGGUGCUCGAGUGGCGAACGGGUGAGUAACACGUGAGUAACCUGCCCUUGACUUUGGGAUAACUUCAGGAAACUGGGGCUAAUACCGGAUAGGAGCUCCUGCUGCAUGGUGGGGGUUGGAAAGUUUCGGCGGUUGGGGAUGGACUCGCGGCUUAUCAGCUUGUUGGUGGGGUAGUGGCUUACCAAGGCUUUGACGGGUAGCCGGCCUGAGAGGGUGACCGGCCACAUUGGGACUGAGAUACGGCCCAGACUCCUACGGGAGGCAGCAGUGGGGAAUAUUGCACAAUGGGCGGAAGCCUGAUGCAGCAACGCCGCGUGCGGGAUGACGGCCUUCGGGUUGUAAACCGCUUUCGCCUGUGACGAAGCGUGAGUGACGGUAAUGGGUAAAGAAGCACCGGCUAACUACGUGCCAGCAGCCGCGGUGAUACGUAGGGUGCGAGCGUUGUCCGGAUUUAUUGGGCGUAAAGGGCUCGUAGGUGGUUGAUCGCGUCGGAAGUGUAAUCUUGGGGCUUAACCCUGAGCGUGCUUUCGAUACGGGUUGACUUGAGGAAGGUAGGGGAGAAUGGAAUUCCUGGUGGAGCGGUGGAAUGCGCAGAUAUCAGGAGGAACACCAGUGGCGAAGGCGGUUCUCUGGGCCUUUCCUGACGCUGAGGAGCGAAAGCGUGGGGAGCGAACAGGCUUAGAUACCCUGGUAGUCCACGCUGUAAACGGUGGGUACUAGGUGUGGGGUCCAUUCCACGGGUUCCGUGCCGUAGCUAACGCUUUAAGUACCCCGCCUGGGGAGUACGGCCGCAAGGCUAAAACUCAAAGGAAUUGACGGGGCCCCGCACAAGCGGCGGAGCAUGCGGAUUAAUUCGAUGCAACGCGUAGAACCUUACCUGGGUUUGACAUGGAUCGGGAGUGCUCAGAGAUGGGUGUGCCUCUUUUGGGGUCGGUUCACAGGUGGUGCAUGCCUGUCGUCAGCUCGUGUCGUGAGAUGUUGGGUUAAGUCCCGCAACGAGCGCAACCCUUGUUCACUGUUGCCAGCACGUUAUGGUGGGGACUCAGUGGAGACCGCCGGGGUCAACUCGGAGGAAGGUGGGGAUGACGUCAAGUCCUCAUGCCCCUUAUGUCCAGGGCUUCACGCAUGCUACAAUGGCUGGUACAGAGAGUGGCGAGCCUGUGAGGGUGAGCGAAUCUCGGAAAGCCGGUCUCAGUUCGGAUUGGGGUCUGCAACUCGACCUCAUGAAGUCGGAGUCGCUAGUAAUCGCAGAUCAGCAACGCUGCGGUGAAUACGUUCCCGGG
rnacentral:rRNA from 1 species